ACAAGUUGUUCAUCUUCCUCCAAAGGAUAACUUUCUAUGACAACCUUGGCAAGUUGUUCAUCUUCCGCAAAAGGAUAACUUUCUUGAAGAGUUUUGGCAAGCUGUUCAUCUUCCUCCAAAGGAUAACUUUCUUGAAGAGUUUUGGCAAGCUGUUCA